rnacentral:rRNA from 1 species
UACGAAGGGGGCUAGCGUUGCUCGGAAUCACUGGGCGUAAAGCGCACGUAGGCCGAUUGUUAAGUCAGGGGUGAAAUCCUGGAGCUCAACUCCAGAACUGCCCUUAUACUGACGGUCUCGAGUCCGGGGAGAGGUGAGUGGAACUGCGAGUGUAGAGGUGAAAUUCGUAGAUAUUUCGCAAGAACACCAGUGGCGAAGGCGGCUCACUGGCCCGGUACUGACGCUGA